rnacentral:rRNA from 1 species
AGAGUUUGAUCCUGGCUCAGGAUGAACGCUGGCGGCGUGCUUAACACAUGCAAGUCGAACGAAGUUAGAGAGCUUGCUUUUAAACUUAGUGGCGGACGGGUGAGUAACGCGUGGGUAACCUGCCUUUCACAGGGGGAUAACAGUUAGAAAUGACUGCUAAUACCGCAUAAGCGCACAGGACGGCAUCGUCUAGUGUGAAAAAACUCCGGUGGUGAAAGAUGGACCCGCGUCUGAUUAGCUAGUUGGUGAGGUAACGGCUCACCAAGGCGACGAUCAGUAGCCGGCCUGAGAGGGUGAACGGCCACAUUGGGACUGAGACACGGCCCAAACUCCUACGGGAGGCAGCAGUGGGGAAUAUUGCACAAUGGGGGAAACCCUGAUGCAAGCGACGCCGCGUGAGUGAAGAAGUAUUUCGGUAUGUAAAGCUCUAUCAGCAGGGAAGAAAAUGACGGUACCUGACUAAGAAGCCCCGGCUAACUACGUGCCAGCAGCCGC